UGCGAUUUGACCUCGGCAACGAUGUGGUCGAUAAGCCGAGGAUCCCCAGGAAGCAAGGUAUUACCCAAACCUAGAUCCAUCUUACAAUAGCAGCAAUCUUCCACAGGGUAUUGUAAAAAUCAUAUUAAAGAAAGAAAAAGCAUAAACUUGGAUAUGUCAAGGUCAAAUACUCUCCGUGGCGACAGAGAACGAAAGCUGAAAUAUUAUAAAAUA